AGCAGCCGCGGUAAUUCCAGCUCCAAUAGCGUAUAUUAAAGUUGUUGCAGUUAAAAAGCUCGUAGUUGAAUUUCGGGAUCAAUAUGUUGGUCGUGCCUUGGUACGUACUAUCUUAUUGGUUUCUCCCUUCUGACGAACCAUGAUGUCAUUAAUUUGGUGUCAUGGGGAAUCAGGAUUGUUACUUUGAAAAAUUAGAGUGUUUAAAGCAGGCUCACGCUUGAAUACAUUAGCAUGGAAUAAUGAAAUAGGACGUUUGAUUCUAUUUUGUUGGUUUCUAGGAUCGAUGUAAUGAUUAAUAGGGAUAGUUGGGGGCAUUAGUAUUCAAUUGUCAGAGGUGAAAUUCUUGGAUUUAUUGAAGACUAACUACUGCGAAAGCAUUUGCCAAGGAUGUUUUCAUUAAUCAAGAACGAAAGUUAGGGGAUCGAAGACGAUCAGAUACCGUCGUAG
rnacentral:rRNA from 1 species